AACGAACGCUGGCGGCAUGCCUAACACAUGCAAGUCGAACGAGACCUUCGGGUCUGGUGGCGCACGGGUGCGUAACGCGUGGGAACCUGCCCUUAGGUUCGGAAUAACUCCCCGAAAGGGGUGCUAAUACCGGAUAAUGUCUUCGGACCAAAGAUUUAUCGCCUUUGGAUGGGCCGGCGUUGGAUUAGCUAGUUGGUAGGGUAAAAGCCUACCAAGGCGACGAUCCAUAGCUGGUCAGAGAGGAUGAUCAGCCACACUGGGACUGAGACACGGCCCAGACUCCUACGGGAGGGAGCAGUGGGGAAUAUUGGAAAAUGGGCGAAAGCCUGAUCCAGCAAUGCCGCGUGAGUGAUGAAGGCCUUAGGGUAGUAAAGCUCUUUUAUCCGGGAUGAUAAUGACAGUACCGGGAGAAUAAGCUCCGGCUAACUCCGUG
rnacentral:rRNA from 1 species